rnacentral:siRNA from 1 species
GCUACUCCUGGAGAAGGGACCUA